rnacentral:rRNA from 1 species
CCUACGGGUGGCAGCAGUGGGGAAUAUUGCUCAAUGGCCGAAACCCUGAAGCAGCCACGCCGCGUGGGGGAGGAAGGUGCUCGGCGUGUAAGACCCUUUUUGCAGGGAGACAAAUGACGGUACCUGACGAAUACGCCCCGGCUACCGACGUGCCAGCAGCCGCGGUAAUGAGGCGGGUGCCAGCGUUAUACGGAUUCACUGGGCGUAAAGGGGGCGCAGGCGGGUUAGCAAGUCCGCAGUGAAACCCUUGGGCCUAACCCGCGAACUGCAGUUGGAACUGGGCGCCUAGAGUGGGGGAGGGGCAGGCGGAAUGCUUGGUGUAGGGGUAAAAUGCGUAGAUAUCAGGAGGAACACUGAUUGCGAAGGCGGCCUGCUGGACCGCAACUGACGCUGAGGCGCGAAAGCGUGGGGAGCAAACAGGAUUAGAUACCCGAGUAGUC